AUUACGUGUGUUGGACAAAAACAAUAAACAUUAGAAAUAAUUAAAAUAAAAUGAUGGUUGGUUGUGAUCGUGGUUCAAGAGUCUACCAAGGUAAAGCCUUCGCUUUCUUGACACGUUCCACGUUCAGUUUAUAUACUUAACAAGAACCACAUUACGUACCCAACAAUUUUACCACCAAUUAGAUCGCGAAUAAUGUUAUUUUCUGUUUAUUACAGUUGAUAACCAAAAGUGCAGAUUACACUAGGGGACAGAACGCAGCAAGAACAACUGGACUAGUAUAUGACCAUAUUGGAAAUCAAAUUACAGACGAAGCCAUGCUUGUCAAGGCGACGGAGACUAAGCCGCAGUCUAUUGUCUUAUCAGCACUUGGAGAGAGCAGAGCGUUUUUAGCAUUGACUUCCUUACAUGAUAGCACUGCAGAAAAUGUCUGGUCUCUUGUUGGGAAGCAGGGAUGUAAAACAAUGAU